AUUGGUGGAGCUGGAGACCCACCAAGAAAGAUGGGUCGGCGUCUGAAACAAAGCACGCGAAGUGUUUCCCAAAGAAUAGAGCAGCGCAGCGCAGUUGGGGGCGGCUCGUACCAGCUGCUGGAAGUAGGGAAAUGCGUCCGUCCCUAGCGCCCGGCGCGACGCGGCCGGGUCUCCCGCCACUUGUCCCACGACACUUGUCCAGUUCGCGCCGAACUCGGACUGGGACUUCUCUUGUCAGCUGCUUCCUACCGCAGGAAACUGGAUUAAGAAUUGCCGCGUCUUAAUUUCCAGCAAACCUUCUGGUGGGGAGCAAAUUUCCAUUUCUCCUACGAAGAUCCAUCCUCUCCCCACUUUCGAAAUGUACUUCUUUUCCAGAGUCCGCAUACUUGUUUCGCAGAGUUCGCACACUUCUUUCCUCUAGUCACUAAUGUCUGUUAAAGAGGCUUCGAAUGCCACGAGCAUUGUCCGUCACACACAUCUGUAUGCCCCAGACAUCAGACAGAAAUACAGGGCCGCGCUCUGAGCUGCGGACUGAGCCUAACACAUGGACGAGUCCAGGGGGCAGACCACCAGCCCGUGAAAGACCCCCGGCGGCAUCUAAGAAAACCUGUCACUCCCGCGGAGAGGCCGUCCAGAAAUUGAAACUGGCUGUUAUUUGGCAGAGGGAGACGUUAAUUUUGGUGAAUUCUUCUGACCCUAAGUCAAGAAUUCGCACCAUUUCCAUGAGUCCUGCCCUGAUUUUUCAAUACUUGAAGCUAACUUAUCACACCGCAUUAUGGUAACAGAACAAUAUUUCGAGAUAUUAACGGAGGAUUCCCCCCACCCCAACCCACC
rnacentral:lncRNA from 10 species